GGGCGCAUAGCUCAGCUGGCCAGAGCGCACGGUUCACAUCCGUGAGGUCGGGGGUUCAAGUCCCUCUGCGCCCA
rnacentral:tRNA from 1 species